UGAAUACGAGACGCUAAGGCGUCGAAGUAGUGUAUAUCAUACUUCCAAGAAAAGCUUGCAAUGUCAUAGAUAAAAAACGCCUGUACCAUAACCGACACAGGUGGGUAGGUAGAGUAUACUAAGGGGCGCGAGAUAACUCUCUCUAAGGAACUCGGCAAAAUAACUCCGUAACUUCGGGAGAAGGAGUGCCUUAUUCGUAAGGUUGCAAUAACAAGAUCCAAGCAACUGUUUAUCAAAAACACAGGUCUCCGCUAAGUCGCAAGACGAUGUAUGGGGGCUGACGCCUGCCCAGUGCCAGAAGGUUAAAGAAGUUGGUUAGCAAUUGCGAAGCUGAUAACUGAAGCCCUGGUGAACGGCGGCCGUAACUAUAACGGUCCUAAGGUAGCGAAAUUCCUUGUCGGGUAAGUUCCGACCCGCACGAAAGGCGUAAUGAUUUGGAUACUGUCUCGGAGAGGGGCUCGGUGAAAUAGACUUGUCUGUGAAGAUGCGGACUACCUGCACCAGGACAGAAAGACCCUAUGAAGCUUUACUGUAACUUGAAAUUGAAAUUGGACUUUAUUCGCGCAGUAUAGGUGGGAGGCGUUGAUUAUAAUCUUGCGGGAUUAUUGGAGCCAUCAGUGAGAUACCACUCUUGUAAUGUUAGAUUUCUAACUUUGAAUCAUUAUCUGGUCAGAGAACAGUUUCAGGCGAGCAGUUUGACUGGGGCGGUCGCCUCCUAAACGGUAACGGAGGCGUACAAAGGUUUCCUCUGAACGGUUAGAAAUCGUAUCUAGAGUGUAAAGGCAUAAGGAAGCUUGACUGUGAGACCUACAAGUCGAGCAGGGACGAAAGUCGGUCUUAGUGAUCUGACGGUACUGAGUGGAAAGGCCGUCACUCAACGGAUAAAAGUUACUCUAAGGAUAGCAGGCUGAUCUCCCCCAAGAGUUCACAUCGACGGGGAGGUUUGGCACCUCGAUGUCGGCUCAUCGCAUCCUGGGGCGGUAGUACGUCCCAAGGGUUGGGCUGUUCGCCCAUGAAAGCGGUACGCGAGCUGGGUUCAGAACGUCGUGAGACAGUUCGGUCCAUAUCCGGUGUAGGCGUUAGAAUAUUGAGAGGAGCCUUCUUUAGUACGAGAGGACCGAGAAGGACAUACCUCUGGUGUACCAGUUAUCGUGCCAACGGUAAACGCUGGGUAGCUAUGUAUGGAGUGGAUAACCGCUGAAAGCAUCUAAGUGGGAAGCCCACCUCAAGAUAAGUAUUCUCA
rnacentral:rRNA from 1 species